rnacentral:lncRNA from 1 species
CUUCGCUCAUCAUUACCAUGUUUUAUUGUUUGACAUUCUGCUUCUUAGCUACUACUAGUGUUCAUGCUACUAUUCCUCUUUUACCUCCCAUAAUCCUACCUCCUAUUCCCAAGCUACCUCCUAUUCCCAUCCUACCUCCUUACAAGUCAUCACCACCUCCGCCACAGCCCAAGUCUUCACCACCUCCGCCUUCACCACCUCCGCCACAGCCCAAGUCUUCACCACCUCCGCCACCUCCGCCUUCACCACCUCCGCCACAGCCUAAGUCUUCACCACCUCCGCCACCUCCGCCUUCACCACCUCCGCCUUCACCACCUCCGCCUUCACCACCUCCGCCACCUCCGCCUUCACCACAGCCUAAGUCUUCACCACCUCCGCCACCGCCCAACUCAUCACCACCUCCGCCACCCUCACCCUCACCUCUACCUCCUUACAAGUCACCACCACCACCAUCUCCAUCACCAUCUCCAUCACAAUCUCUACCAUCUCUAUCACCACCAUCUCCAUCACCAUCUCUAUCACCAUCUCCAUCACCAU